UGGGCUAUUAGGUUCAGAUCGGCCUUAAGGCUAGAGUCUGUUUGCUUGAUCUCAAAAAUUUCUGCCCACUUUUGGUAAGGGAUUGAUCUUUCGUAGGAGGAUAAUGAAGUAUGAUUGAUUGAAUUUUCACUCAAAGUUUCAAAUAAAGUGUAGGCUUCAUCCUCACUUUUACUCAUGAAUGCACCCUCACAAUAUGCAUUUACCAUCUGUCUGUAUUGGUCACCUAAACCCUCAUAAAAAGCUUGAACAAUUUGCCACUUAAAUAGACCAUGGUGUGGAUAUUUUCUAAGAAGUUCUUUAAGUCUCUCCC
rnacentral:lncRNA from 1 species